AAGUUGGCCAUGAAAAUAGAGGGUGGAAUCGACAAACAUAUUCUACAAAUCCAGGAUCUUAUAACCAGAAAAACAUCUGCCGGAAAAAAGGACCAAAUGGCUGCACAGCUCAGCGGAGGAGGAUUGCCGCAUUCGAUGCCGGCUGUUGAAGGCAUGCCGACUGGAAUUGGAAUCUGAAUUAGAAUGGCUCCCUCCUGAUUUGGGGGGGGGCGUGCACAAAUAUUAAUCAUUCCACCGCAAAAAGCUGGCAAAACAGUAAACACCAAACGGCGAUGGGAGAAACAGGGAGAGAGUGAGAGAGGGAGAGAGAGAGAGAGAGAGCCGAGACCGGGACCAUAAAAUAAUAGGAUGGACUGAGAUGGGCACUGAACUAACAUUUACCUUGGCUGGCCAAAAAUAAAUCCUGAGAAAAAGAAAACAGUUUACAAAUGGCGUCCAUAUCGCAGGUAUUAAUACAUUUUGCCAACAGGCUGUCCUUAUUUUUAGAAAGAAAAGCGUAUUUU
ensembl:ncRNA lncRNA:CR45512 long non-coding RNA:CR45512